CCUACGGGAGGCAGCAGUGGGGAAUAUUGGACAAUGGGGGAAACCCUGAUCCAGCGACGCCGCGUGAGUGAAGAAGUAUUUCGGUACGUAAAGCUCUAUCAGCAGGAAAGAAAAUGACGGUACCUGACUAAGAAGCCCCGGCUAACUACGUGCCAGCAGCCGCGGUAAUACGUAGGGGGCAAGCGUUAUCCGGAUUUACUGGGUGUAAAGGGAGCGUAGACGGCAGCACAAGUCUGGAGUGAAAUCCCGGGGCUUAACCCCGGAACUGCUUUUGAAACUGUGCGGCUGGAGUGCAGGAGGGGUAAGCGGAAUUCCUAGUGUAGCGGUGAAAUGCGUAGAUAUUAGGAGGAACACCGGUGGCGAAGGCGGCUUACUGGACUGUAACUGACGUUGAGGCUCGAAAGCGUGGGGAGCAAACAGGAUUAGAUACCCCGGUAGUC
rnacentral:rRNA from 1 species